UACGUAGGGGGCGAGCGUUGUCCGGAUUCAUUGGGCGUAAAGCGCGCGCAGGCGGCUUCGUAAGUCGGCCGUGAAAUCUCCAGGCUCAACUUGGAGGGGUCGGGCGAGACUGCGGAGCUGGAGGCAGGUAGAGGGCGGUGGAAUUCCGGGUGUAGUGGUGGAAUGCGUAGAGAUCCGGAGGAACACCAGUGGCGAAGGCGGCCGCCUGGGCCUGACCUGACGCUGAGGCGCGAAAGCGUGGGGAGCGAUCCGGAUUAGAAACCCGCGUAGUCC
rnacentral:rRNA from 1 species